UCUAUUUUUUAAUGCCUAGAUUUCAGGGGGUUUCAGAUCUGGAAACUUGAAAAUCAUUUUGUUGCUGUUAUACAGAUUUUUUUUUGCCCAUAUUAAAUUUUAAUUCCGAGUCUGUUUUUGCUUUUCCUUUAUUUCUACCUUUUUCCCUCCCCUCACAACUUCCUUCUGAUACUCCUGUCUUUGUUUUCUUCCUCUUAAUAAUCAGGUUGCCUUCAAACUGUUUCAGAAAACUCCAUGGCAUGACGGACUAGAUCUAUUUUGUGGAACAGCAAUUCUGAGAAUGCCAUAUCAAAGCUAGCACCUACCUUUUGGCUUCCAUGAACCCGACAUUUAGAGACAAAGUUGACAACUGGAUCUCAGGCUGACAGAGCUAAGCAGCUUCAUUUUCACAUUGGGAGAGCAGCUCAGUGAACUUCCUCUGCCUACUUUAUCAUCACGAACCACGGCCAUGACAUCCAGCAUAGGCACUGGGUGGACGAGAGGCUACACAAGACAAUGAGGCGCAAUGAGUGGGUUCCCAAAUCACACUGCCUGAGUCCUCUUCCUGGCUGCCAUUUAUUAGCUGUGUAACCAAGGGUAUGUGUCCCACUUGUUCUGUCUGUCAAGGGGGGUGAUUGUACAAACUACAGGUACUGAUGUGAAGAGUAAUUGAGUUAAUAUAUAAAAAGAGAUUAGAAAGAGCUGGGCACAUAAUAAAACACUCCACGGAAGUUAGCUAUGAUUAUAUAGUAUUUUCCAAUUAUUUAUUUAAAAACAAAUGGGAUUAGUCCAAAAGUACAGGCUUGCCUUCUA